rnacentral:rRNA from 1 species
UACGGAGGGUGCAAGCGUUAUCCGGAUUUACUGGGUUUAAAGCGUGCGCAGGCGGUUUUGUAAGCCAGGUGUGAAAUCCCCGGGCUCAACCUGGGAAUGGCAUUUGGGACUGCAAGGCUGGAGUGCGGCAGAGGAGACUGGAAUUCCUGGUGUAGCAGUGAAAUGCGUAGAUAUCAGGAGGAAUACCGAUGGCGAAGGCGAGUCUCUGGACAUUUCCUGACGCUGAGGCACGAAAGCCAGGGGAGCAAACGGG